AACGCUGAGGUGUGAUGACGAGGCACUACGGUGCUGAAGUAACAAAUGCCCUGCUUCCAGGAAAAGCCUCUAAGCAUCAGGUAACACGAAAUCGUACCCCAAACCGACACAGGUGGUCAGGUAGAGAAUACCAAGGCGCUUGAGAGAACUCGGGUGAAGGAACUAGGCAAAAUGGUGCCGUAACUUCGGGAGAAGGCACGCUGAUGGUAGGUGAAGCGACUUGCUCGUGGAGCUGAAAUCAGUCGAAGAUACCAGCUGGCUGCAACUGUUUAUUAAAAACACAGCACUGUGCAAACACGAAAGUGGACGUAUACGGUGUGACGCCUGCCCGGUGCCGGAAGGUUAAUUGAUGGGGUUAUCCGUAAGGAGAAGCUCUUGAUCGAAGCCCCGGUAAACGGCGGCCGUAACUAUAACGGUCCUAAGGUAGCGAAAUUCCUUGUCGGGUAAGUUCCGACCUGCACGAAUGGCGUAAUGAUGGCCAGGCUGUCUCCACCCGAGACUCAGUGAAAUUGAACUCGCUGUGAAGAUGCAGUGUACCCGCGGCAAGACGGAAAGACCCCGUGAACCUUUACUAUAGCUUGACACUGAACACUGGUCCUUGAUGUGUAGGAUAGGUGGGAGGCUUUGAAGUGUGGACGCCAGUCUGCAUGGAGCCAACCUUGAAAUACCACCCUUUAAUGGCUGGUGUUCUAACGUAGACCCGUGAUCCGGGUUGCGGACAGUGUCUGGUGGGUAGUUUGACUGGGGCGGUCUCCUCCUAAAGAGUAACGGAGGAGCACGAAGGUUAGCUAAUCCUGGUCGGACAUCAGGAGGUUAGUGCAAAGGCAUAAGCUAGCUUGACUGCGAGAGUGACGGCUCGAGCAGGUGCGAAAGCAGGUCUUAGUGAUCCGGUGGUUCUGAAUGGAAGGGCCAUCGCUCAACGGAUAAAAGGUACUCCGGGGAUAACAGGCUGAUACCGCCCAAGAGUUCAUAUCGACGGCGGUGUUUGGCACCUCGAUGUCGGCUCAUCACAUCCUGGGGCUGAAGUAGGUCCCAAGGGUAUGGCUGUUCGCCAUUUAAAGUGGUACGCGAGCUGGGUUUAGAACGUCGUGAGACAGUUCGGUCCCUAUCUGCCGUGGGCGCUGGAGAAUUGAGGGGGGCUGCUCCUAGUACGAGAGGACCGGAGUGGACGCAUCACUGGUGUUCGGGUUGUCAUGCCAAUGGCAUUGCCCGGUAGCUAAAUGCGGAAGAGAUAAGUGCUGAAAGCAUCUAAGCACGAAACUUGCCCCGAGAUGAGUUCUCCCUGACUCCUUGAGAGUCCUGAAGGAACGUUGAAGACUACGACGUUGAUAGGUCGGGUGUGUAAGUGUAGCGAUACAUUGAGCUAACCGAUACUAAUGAACCGUGAGGCUUAACCUUACAACGCCAAAG
rnacentral:rRNA from 1 species